UGAAACCACUGCUAUUACAUGCCUGUCAAGGCCAUUUAACUUUAGAAGGGGAAUUUCUGUGGAUUAGUCUAAUGUUCAAUCCAGUGUUGCACCUCUGGAAUGGCCAACACUGGAUGCUUCAGAAGUAAGGAGACCCCUCCAGUGCACAUGGCCAACUGGGAACCAUCACACCAUGGAAUGGAAACACAUUUCUUCCUGACCACACCUGGCAAUCGUCUUACGCCUUGAAGCCCUUGCCAUGUUUCUCCUGGCUAGUCAAAAUGCGGAUGCUAUUCUUAUUCAUGUUUUGUCGGAAAUAUAUGCCUGCCACCAGCCUACUUCUAUUCAGUGGGGUAGAUCCUCAGGUGGUGAAAACCGACAGAGAUUCACUGAAGUUAAUGGAGCUGAGGAUCUGCCCAACAUCAUCUGCCCUUCCACAUUCCUCUGACGGGUUACCUUUGAUCUCUCCUUCGCAGUGGCUGCCUCCUCAAAAUGUACAGUAAGCGCCAUAAGCAGCCCCACAAACAGAUUGUUUAAGCUAAAAACCUCUGCUGAGAUGGAC